ensembl:snRNA U6 U6 spliceosomal RNA
GUACUGGCUUCAGUAGCACAUAUACUAAAAUUGGAAGGAUACAGAGAAGAUUAGCAUGGCCCCUGCUCAUGGAUGAUAUGUAAAUUCGUGAAGGGUUCCAUAUUAAA